rnacentral:tRNA from 1 species
GGACGCAGCUCAGUGGUAGAGCACGUGCUUAGCAUGCACGAGGUCCUGGGUUCAAUCCCCAGUACCUCCA